AAAACUAAACAGACUCUUACUAUCUAGUAUUUACUGCCAGCUAACUCAAAGACAUGCAUCUCAGUCUAUGCAUCAUUCUUGUGCAAUUACUAGAUAUGCAUCUAAAUUGUUACAUGAUAAUUAAUGAGUUGACAAGCACACCUUAAAGCAUAAGGUAGUGGAAGACCACCUGAAAAUAAAUUUAAAUAUGCAAAUGGCUUGUGGCUCAUGGCCCAAAGACCUUGACAGCUUAAGAAAGGGAAAUUUUUGUUUGUUGCUGUUCUAUUGUUUAAGAAACUUACCUCCAACAAGA
rnacentral:misc_RNA from 1 species